rnacentral:rRNA from 1 species
UGGGGAAUCAUGGUCAAUGGGCGAAAGCCUGAACCUGCGACGCCGCGUGAGUGAUGAAGGCCUUAGGGUUGUAAAGCUCUUUUACCAGGGAUGAUAAUGACAGUACCUGGAGAACAAGCUCCGGCUAACUCCGUGCCAGCAGCUGCGGUAAUACGUAGGGGGCGAGCGUUAUUCGGAAUUACUGGGUGUAAAGGGUAUGUAGGCGGCCCUUCAAGUCGCGUGUCAAAGUCCAGUGCUCAACGCUGGGUGUGCACGCGAUACUGACGGGCUUGAGGGCUGGAGAGGUGAGCGGAAUUCCCGGUGUAGUGGUAAAAUACGUAGAGAUCGGGAGGAACACCAGCGGCGCAGGCGGCUCACUAGACAGUUUCUGACGCUAAGAUACGAAAGCGUGGGGAGCAAACA